CGGCAUGUACUUUAAUUAAAAGGCCUAGUUUGCAAUUAGACAUUGGUGUUACCCGUACCGU
rnacentral:tRNA from 1 species